UACGGGGGGGAGCAAGCGUUGUUCGGAUUUACUGGGCGUAAAGGGCGCGUAGGCGGCGUGACAAGUCACUUGUGAAAUCUCCGGGCUUAACUCGGAACGGUCAAGUGAUACUGUCGUCGCUAGAGACAGGAGGACACUGGAAUUCUCGGUGUAGCGGUGAAAUGCGUAGAUAUCGAGAGGAACACCUGCGGCGAAGGCGGGUUGCUGGGCUGAUACUGACGCUGAGGCGCGAAAGCCAGGGGAGCGAACGGG
rnacentral:rRNA from 1 species